rnacentral:rRNA from 1 species
AUUGAACGCUGGCGGCAGGCUUAACACAUGCAAGUCGAGCGGGGUGAUGUGCUUCGGUACUGAUCCUAGCGGCGGACGGGUGAGUAAUGCCUAGGAAUCUGCCAUUUAGUGGGGGACAACAUUCCGAAAGGAAUGCUAAUACCACAUACGUCCUACGGGAGAAAGCAGGGGAUCUUCGGACCUUGCGCUAAAUGAUGAGCCUAAGUCGGAUUAGCUAGUUGGUGGGGUAAAAGGCCUACCAAGGCGACGAUCUGUAGCGGGUCUGAGAGGAUGAUCCGCCACACUGGGACUGAGACACGGCCCAGACUCCUACGGGAGGCAGCAGUGGGGAAUAUUGGACAAUGGGCGGAAGCCUGAUCCAGCCAUGCCGCGUGUGUGAAGAAGGCCUUUUGGUUGUAAAGCACUUUAAGCGAGGAGGAGGCUACCUGGGAUUAAUACUCUGGGAUAGUGGACGUUACUCGCAGAAUAAGCACCGGCUAACUCUGUGCCAG